rnacentral:rRNA from 1 species
GGAGGUAGUUGACAAUAAAUCACAAUGCGGAACAAUGUUUUGCAAUUGGAUUGAGAACAACGUACAAACCUUAUCGAUAAACAAUUGGAGGGCAAGUCUGGUGCCAGCAGCCGCGGUAAUUCCAGCUCCAAUAGCGUAUAUUAACGUUGUUGCAGUUAAAAAGCUCGUAGUUGAAAUGAAGGGUAGUUGUGUAAUGAAUACAUUCGUGUAUUUUGUUAUUCUACUACCCUCCUUCUAAAUUCGAUAUAUGAGUAUUAAUUUACUUGUAUAUGGUUUUAGACGUUUACUGUGAGAAAAUUAGAGUGUUCAAAGCAGGCAUUUGCUUGAAUAUAUUAGCAUGGAAUAAUCAUGUAUGAUUUUCAUGAUGUAUUUGAUUGGUUUGGUUCAUGAGAAUAAGAUUAAAAGGGACAGUUGGGGGUAUUCAUAUUCAAUAGUCAGAGGUGAAAUUCUCGGAUUUAUGGAAGAUGAACAAGUGCGAAAGCAUUUACCAAGGAUGUUUUCAUUAAUCAAGAACGAAAGUUA